rnacentral:rRNA from 1 species
AACUAACGCUGGCGGCGUGCCUAACACAUGCAAGUCGUACGAGAAAGUCGGCUUCGGCUGAUGAGUAAAGUGGCGCACGGGUGAGUAACGCGUGGAUAAUCUGCCCUUGAGUGUGGAAUAACGUACCGAAAGGUGCGCUAAUACCGCAUAAUGCCUGGCAACACAAGUUGUCCGGCCAAAGAAGGCCUCUGUUUACAAGCUUUUGCUCAAGGAUGAGUCCGCGUACCAUUAGCUAGUUGGUGGGGUAACGGCCUACCAAGGCUACGAUGGUUAGCUGGUCUGAGAGGAUGAUCAGCCACACUGGAACUGAGACACGGUCCAGACUCCUACGGGAGGCAGCAGUGAGGAGUAUUGCGCAAUGGGGGCAACCCUGACGCAGCAACGCCGCGUGAGUGAGGAAGGUUUUCGGACUGUAAAGCUCUGUCGAGCGGGAAGAAAUGUACCAUGGCUAAUAUCCAUGAUAUUUGACGGUACCGCUAGAGG